CAUUAUUAGGUUGGCACAAAAGUAAUUGCAGUUUUUGUCAUUACUUUUAAUGGCAAAAAGCGCAAUUACUUUUGCACCAAUUUAAUAGUU
rnacentral:miRNA from 10 species